rnacentral:rRNA from 1 species
GACGAACGCUGGCGGCGUGCCUAAUACAUGCAAGUAGAACGCACAGUUUAUACCGUAGCUUGCUACACCAUAGACUGUGAGUUGCGAACGGGUGAGUAACGCGUAGGUAACCUGCCUGGUAGCGGGGGAUAACUAUUGGAAACGAUAGCUAAUACCGCAUAAUAUUAAUUAUUGCAUGAUAAUUGAUUGAAAGAUGCAACUGCAUCACUACCAUAUGGACCUGCGUUGUAUUAGCUAGUAGGUGAGGUAACGGGUCACCUAGGCGACGAUACAUAGCCGACCUGAGAGGGUGAUCGGCCACACUGGGACUGAGACACGGCCCAGACUCCUACGGGAGGCAGCAGUAGGGAAUCUUCGGCAAUGGACGAAAGUCUGACCGAGCAACGCCGCGUGAGUGAAGAAGGUUUUCGGAUCGUAAAGCUCUGUUGUAAGAGAAGAACGGGUGUGAGAGUGGAAAGUUCACACUGUGACGGUAUCUUACCAGAAAGGGACGGCUAACUACGUG